rnacentral:rRNA from 1 species
GACGAACGCUGGCGGCGUGCUUAACACAUGCAAGUCGAACGGAAAGGCCCUGCUUUUGUGGGGUGCUCGAGUGGCGAACGGGUGAGUAACACGUGAGUAACCUGCCCUUGACUUUGGGAUAACUUCAGGAAACUGGGGCUAAUACCGGAUAGGAGCUCCUGCUGCAUGGUGGGGGUUGGAAAGUUUCGGCGGUUGGGGAUGGACUCGCGGCUUAUCAGCUUGUUGGUGGGGUAGUGGCUUACCAAGGCUUUGACGGGUAGCCGGCCUGAGAGGGUGACCGGCCACAUUGGGACUGAGAUACGGCCCAGACUCCUACGGGAGGCAGCAGUGGGGAAUAUUGCACAAUGGGCGGAAGCCUGAUGCAGCAACGCCGCGUGCGGGAUGACGGCCUUCGGGUUGUAAACCGCUUUCGCCUGUGACGAAGCGUGAGUGACGGUAAUGGGUAAAGAAGCACCGGCUAACUACGUGCCAGCAGCCGCGGUGAUACGUAGGGUGCGAGCGUUGUCCGGAUUUAUUGGGCGUAAAGGGCUCGUAGGUGGUUGAUCGCGUCGGAAGUGUAAUCUUGGGGCUUAACCCUGAGCGUGCUUUCGAUACGGGUUGACUUGAGGAAGGUAGGGGAGAAUGGAAUUCCUGGUGGAGCGGUGGAAUGCGCAGAUAUCAGGAGGAACACCAGUGGCGAAGGCGGUUCUCUGGGCCUUUCCUGACGCUGAGGAGCGAAAGCGUGGGGAGCGAACAGGCUUAGAUACCCUGGUAGUCCACGCUGUAAACGGUGGGUACUAGGUGUGGGGUCCAUUCCACGGGUUCCGUGCCGUAGCUAACGCUUUAAGUACCCCGCCUGGGGAGUACGGCCGCAAGGCUAAAACUCAAAGGAAUUGACGGGGCCCCGCACAAGCGGCGGAGCAUGCGGAUUAAUUCGAUGCAACGCGUAGAACCUUACCUGGGUUUGACAUGGAUCGGGAGUGCUCAGAGAUGGGUGUGCCUCUUUUGGGGUCGGUUCACAGGUGGUGCAUGCCUGUCGUCAGCUCGUGUCGUGAGAUGUUGGGUUAAGUCCCGCAACGAGCGCAACCCUUGUUCACUGUUGCCAGCACGUUAUGGUGGGGACUCAGUGGAGACCGCCGGGGUCAACUCGGAGGAAGGUGGGGAUGACGUCAAGUCCUCAUGCCCCUUAUGUCCAGGGCUUCACGCAUGCUACAAUGGCUGGUACAGAGAGUGGCGAGCCUGUGAGGGUGAGCGAAUCUCGGAAAGCCGGUCUCAGUUCGGAUUGGGGUCUGCAACUCGACCUCAUGAAGUCGGAGUCGCUAGUAAUCGCAGAUCAGCAACGCUGCGGCGAAUACGUUCCCGGG